UCACACUUGUCUUGACUUGGCAUAUAUGUAUAUCGCGCACUGGGAGAUCUCUAUACCUUAUACACUAUCUCUCUAUGCGUGUAAGACACACAGAAUGACUUCUCUGUAUCGCGUUAUCCCUCAAUUGCGUUACACCGUGACCCAAUAUUCUUAUAUUAUGGAUAACUCAGGGAAAGUUUGGCUAAUACGUACACGAGUCUAUAUAUAUAUAUAUAUACACUAUUCACACACACACACACACACACUCUUAUAUGUGUAUCGACGACGGGUCUUGCUUUCUAUACACGCGCUCACUGCAUGCAACCAUGUUACGAUAUAUAUAGUGAAUAGUGAUAUCUACUCAGCACUCAAUGGUAAACUUUUUAGAUUUGCAUACUGUUACAUCGCUUCGGCGUGUACUAUAUGUAUUUCUUAACACUUAUUCACAGUUUACACGCACCAUGAGAGACAUUGAGCACGCUCUAGUGUGAAUGAAUUUCAUUUACACGUCUACGCUGAGCAGACUUUGCGAAGUUUACUUUGCGAAGCAUGUCAUACAAGCAUCUACAGCAUCAAGUCACAGGGUUGGCAAGUGUAUUAUUGAACCUUCAAAGCAGUCACGCAUACGGAGGAGUAGUUUCUUAUCCCAUAGAAGGAGCACCGUACAAUGAGAGACCGCUCUUAGUUCUAAGGAACGCAGCAGGCGCAAAAAUUGCCCAAUGCUAGUACCCUAUUAUACUAUCGAAUACACGCACACAUUAUAUAUUAUAUCCUUGUUCGCAUAGUCUCACAUUAUACUGAGGCAGUGACAAGCUGUAACGGUUGAGUAUUUAUAAUGACGAGUGUCUGGCAUUGCCGCUUCCUCGGAAGCUUGGCAAGUUGCCGACGCUUUGUGUGCUCAAUUGGAAUGCGGUGAGUCCAAGCAACUCAGAACCUUUGAACCUGUGUUUACACGAUCUCACGUGUUUACACUAUUCAUGUAUCUGAAUUUCAAGUGGAGGGCAAGUCUGGUGCCAGCAGCCGCGGUAAUACCAGCUCCACUGGCCUAUACAAUCAUUGUUGCGGUUAAGAGGCUCGUAGUUGGAUUGAACUACUCAUACACAUGCACUUUCACAUGCAUAUAUUUUAGUAGCACGCAUAUAUAUACACUAUACACACACACACACACAGUAUAUAUAUAUAUAUGCGUUCGACUUCUAUUGUAUCGUAUAUACGUUACGUACGUACGUGAUGAGUGCAAAGAGAGUGUAUAUACCUCACCCUUUCAACACUGUGAACAAAUCAGAGUGUAUCAAACAUGUCUUUUUCAUUUGAAUGCGCAUUGAAUGUCUUAUCAUGGGACGUUGCCUAUUCUCAUACCUCUAAACCAUUGAAAAGUAACRUGUACGAUGCACACUCAUAUACACUCUAUACAUGCACACACACACACACUCACUCACAAUACACAUACACGUGUAUAUAAAGCAUCCUCAGCCUGCAAAAUGCCUUAUGGCUUGAGCUUGUAUCUUUUACGAGGUACGCUCGCUGUAUAGCACUUUUAUGCACGGUCUCGACGGACGUUUCAUUUCAUUAUUCUUUAUUUAUUGCGUGUAGGCAUUAUGACUAUAUAUUUUUAAACGAAUGUAUAUCAUUAGCGUGCACAGGAUUUUCGGAGCUUUGCGCUCAAUUUAUUCUGGUGAGAUGUAAGCAUCAUGUUUCUUUCUGCCGCGUACUUCUUGUGACUCACGUCUCAAUGAAUGUAUCGUGCAGCAAGGUUACACUUUAUUUUAUAUGAUGUGAAGCACGCUUUAGGCACGCGCUUACUGCAGAAAUGUCUGAGACAUUCCUUUCCGGGGGAAGUAUGUACGCAAGUAUGAAACUUGAAGGAAUUGACGGAAGGGCACCACAAGAACGCGUGGAGCAUGUGGCUUAAUUUGACUCAACGCGGGAAAUCUUACCGGGUCCGGACACACUGAGGAUUGACAGGCAAUAUUAUACUCUCUCUCUGCUCUCUCACGAGUGCAUGGGGUGUAUAUGUUAAAUAUGCUAGUCCUUUCAUGAUUAUGUGAUAGGUGGUGCAUGGCCGUUCUUAGUUCGUGGAGUGAUCUGUCUGCUUAAUUGCGUUUCACUAAAGGGCUUAUACAUUUAUAUAUUUUAUAUAUACUAUGCGCAUACACUUUACUGUGUGUGUGUGUAUGUGUGUGUAUCUCAUAUACUUAGGCUCUGAAAGCAACGAACGUGACCGCAACCUCUUGUUGCCUUAUAUACAACACUCAUAUGCACUUUAUUGUGUGUGUGUAGUGUGACGCCAAGGCUUUUUAAACUAGAGGGACCGCUGUGACAUUCUUUCAACCAGAGGAAGGCUGCGGCAAUAACAGGUCUGUGAUGCCCUUAGAUGUUCCGGGCUGCACACGUGCUACAAUGAUUAUUGCAGUGAGCAUCUCAUUUGAUUUAUACAUCGCUUGCGCGAGUACACGCGUAUAUAUAUAUUAUACUUUACUGUAUAUGUAUGUGUGUAUGUGUGUACUCUGCGCGCGAUUCAGCCUGCUCCGUUAGGUAGCGGGUAAUCAAUUAGAAGUAGUGAUUUCCUUUAUAUUUUUUGCACGACUAUAUACGGCGUCUUAUGCCCGGCUUAUACUUCGCUAUAGGUUUUGUGUUGCAUUCGAUGUAUAACCGUAUGUGCAAUUGUCAAUUCAUGGUGGGGACAGACCAUUGUUAAUUGUUGGUCUCGGUCUUAACUAGGAAUGCCUUGUACGGGUCUUUGGUCCAACAAACCACCCGGAAUACGUCCCUGCCCUUUGUACACGCCGCCCGUCGCUCUUACCGAUGGAUUUCUCUGUGAGUUUGAGGGACUGGAUACACCAACAUCUAUGNAAACUUAAACGAACAGUGUGAUCUAAAGGAAAGAGAAGUCGAACAAGGCA
rnacentral:rRNA from 1 species